UACGGGAGGCAGCAGUGAGGAAUAUUGCGCAAUGGGGGAAACCCUGACGCAGCGACGCCGCGUGGAUGAUGAAGGCCUUCGGGUUGUAAAAUCCUGUCAGAUGGGAAGAAGUGCACUAUGUCUAAUACAUAUAGUGUUUGACGGUACCAUUAAAGGAAGCACCGGCUAACUCCGUGCCAGCAGCCGCGGUAAU
rnacentral:rRNA from 1 species